rnacentral:rRNA from 1 species
UGGGGAAUAUUGCACAAUGGGCGCAAGCCUGAUGCAGCAAUGCCGCGUGUGUGAAGAAGGCCCGAGGGUUGUAAAGCACUUUCAAUAGUGAGGAAAAGUUAGUAGUUAAUACCUGCUAGCCCUGACGUUAACUAUAGAAGAAGCACCGGCUAACUCCGUGCCAGCAGCCGCGGUAAUACGGAGGGUGCGAGCGUUAAUCGGAAUUACUGGGCGUAAAGCGCGCGUAGGCGGCUUGGUCAGUCGGAUGUGAAAGCCCUGGGCUUAACCUGGGAACUGCAUUCGAUACUGCCUGGCUAGAGUAUGAUAGAGGUAAGUGGAAUUCCUGGUGUAGCGGUGAAAUGCGUAGAUAUCAGGAGGAACAUCAGUGGCGAAGGCGGCUUACUGGAUCAAUACUGACGCUGAGGUGCGAAAGCGUGGGGAGCAAACAGGAUUAGAUACCCCCGUAGUCC